rnacentral:misc_RNA from 1 species
ACAAACUUGGUCAUUUAGAGGAAGUAAAAGUCGUAACAAGGUAACCGUAGGUGAACCUGCGGUUGGAUCAUUACAAAAAAUCGUGAUUAUGGUGUAUGCGCCAUUAAUCCAAACACCUUGUGAACUGUUAUUGUAUUUGGCAAGUGAGGUGGUGAUGUUGUCGGUUAGGCUUUCUAUUCGGUUAGGAUAGGCCUGAUUCGGCUUCACGCAAUCGAGUUUCAGCCCCUAGUUCCCCUAAAGACUUUAAGGGAGUUUGGGAUUUGAAAGCUUGCCCUUGUAUUUUAAACACUACUUUUUUUAAUGAGACUGAACAAAAUACAUAAAGUUUAAAAUAUUAAACAACUUUUGGCAACGGAUCUCUUGGCUCUCGCAUCGAUGAAGAACGCAGC